rnacentral:tRNA from 1 species
UGCUCGGUAGCUCAGUGGCAGAGCAGGUGACUGUUAAUCACUUGGUCGCUGGUUCGAUCCCAGCCCGAGCAGCCA